UGCGGCGUAGAUAUGACAUGA
ensembl:piRNA 21ur-3660 ncRNA